GAUUACUCGGAGUUUUGUGUGUUUGUCCAUUCAUCUGAUGCUGUAAAGAAGGGGUACCUUCUGAACUUACUUAGAGGAAUGAAGGAAAAUCAGUGGACCAAAAUGUGGGAAAGGCUAAAGGUUGUCAGCAAACAUUUUGAAUAUCAAUAUCCAUCCCAAACUAAUGAUGCAGUGGAUAUGAUUUGGCAGGCAGUUUCAAGGAAGGUGUCACAUAUACAACUGAAGGAUAACCGUAACAACAGAUACCACAGGUCACAGCUUUUCCUCAAAGACCAGAUUUUGUGAUUAUUUAUGUGAAAUUUGAAUCAAUCAUCCUGUACUUCUAGGAUAUCAGAUGCCAGAUUGAGCUGGUUUCUCCAUCUUACGGUAUGAAAAUGUUUUUGCUGUAACCAAUUUUCAAAA
rnacentral:misc_RNA from 1 species